GGCUUUAUAGUAUAAUGAAUAUAUUAGAUUGCAAAUCUAAAGAUAUGUAAGGACAUUAAGGCUU
rnacentral:tRNA from 1 species